UUUAUUCUCAUGCUUGAGCCCUCUAAUCUCCUGUUUGAGACUCAUCACUUCAGCCGCCAAUGAUUCAACUUGGCGGGUUCGAGCAAAUAGGCGCUGGGCCAUAUUAGACACAGAACCUGCACACUGAACACUUAGAGCCAGAGAAUCCUUAACAGCCAACUCAUCAGACCGUUUAGAAAAUAGUCUGUUAUCUUUGGGAGUGAGA
rnacentral:lncRNA from 1 species